rnacentral:rRNA from 1 species
UGCGUAGGUGGCGGGGUAAGUCAGGUGUGAAAUCUCGGAGCUCAACUCCGAAACUGCACUUGAUACUGCCUUGCUCGAGUACUGGAGAGGAGAUUGGAAUUUACGGUGUAGCAGUGAAAUGCGUAGAUAUCGUAAGGAAGACCAGUGGCGAAGGCGAAUCUCUGGACAGUUACUGACACUGAGGCACGAAGGGCCAGGGGAGCAAACA